rnacentral:rRNA from 1 species
UAGGGAAUCUUCGGCAAUGGACGAAAGUCUGACCGAGCAACGCCGCGUGAGUGAAGAAGGUUUUCGGAUCGUAAAACUCUGUUGUUAGAGAAGAACAAGGACGUUAGUAACUGAACGUCCCCUGACGGUAUCUAACCAGAAAGCCACGGCUAACUACGUGCCAGCAGCCGCGGUAAUACGUAGGUGGCAAGCGUUGUCCGGAUUUAUUGGGCGUAAAGCGAGCGCAGGCGGUUUCUUAAGUCUGAUGUGAAAGCCCCCGGCUCAACCGGGGAGGGUCAUUGGAAACUGGGAGACUCGAGUGCAGAAGAGGAGAGUGGAAUUCCAUGUGUAGCGGUGAAAUGCGUAGAUAUAUGGACGAACACCAGUUGCGAAGGCGGCUCUCUGGUCUGUAACUGUCGCUGAGGCUCGAAAGCGUGGGGAGCAAACAGG